CUCCUUCCUUUACCAGAGACUUCCCCUGUGGCUCAGUCCUUCAGCUCCACUAAUUUUCUUUUGUACCACAGCUCCUUCCUUGCCAGUAAAACUGGUACAAGCCAUGUGGGGGUCAUAUAACAGUCACAUGGGAUGCAUAACUAUUUCGUAAAUGAUGGAUCAGUACAAAAACCCAGAAAGAAGGAAGUCAGAAUUUUCCAGAAAUGACAGGUUUUGCCACAGAAUUUACAUUCUUCUACUUCUUUACAAGCAGGCAGUCUGCCUCUGACCAAAGACUCUCUUCCUACCAGCAUGUUUUCUCUGGCAAAGACUCAAUUUUUAGAGCCUUUUGGAUACCAUCAGUUGCUGAAAUGACCCUGCAGAAGGGUCCAGAGACAGCUCCUCUCCAGAACUGCCUACAAACAGGCAGUAACUGGCCAUGCCUGCAGUGUUCGGGUACAUUGGUCUCAUGGUUGUCCUCGAGCAAAGGGACAGUGUUCUUGUCUGCUCUGCGCCUUGGAUGCUAGGGUUGCACUCACAGAUGGAGCCCCGGGGUGCUCCUCCAAGGCUGGCACUAUCAAUAUUAAUGAUUUUCUUCCUCUUCCACAUUCUGUGGCUCCUGGGAGACCAAGAACCCCAGCCUGGAUGCUUUUAAACAGCACUAUAUGAGACAAAGCCACAUUCCUUAGCUGUAAGUCUUUACAAUCACCCACCAGCUCUCCAAAACAAGUUCAGAGCAUGACUUCCAGCGAGGCAGAUGACGCAGUUCUUCAGGCCCAGAGAUGUUUUUCUGGACGAUGCAGCAAAGCUACUGGGCUCAGUACUGGGCUAAUUGGAUGCAACUGAACGGCUUUGAAAUAUAGGAAGUCAUACCAGAUGUUCUCAUGGUUCCUUCUGGCCUUAAAUCCUGUGAAUCUAUGAAUGAGUUUCUGAAUCUGUGAAAUCCAAAGUCCUGAAAAUACAAACAUAUGAGUAGAGUUAUAUUUCUGGCCCCCAGAUCAGAGGAAAGAUAUUGAAUGUGCAUUGUUGCGAUAAAUCAAAGAAGCAGCUAAAUCAGAGCUGUAAUAAAAGUCGACUGCAGAUCUUUGUGCAGAAAUUGGUCAUAUGUCAUGUGAGGACAAGGUUCAGAGAUGCGAUUUCUCAACAUCUGAAAUGACUUCUUUUGGGAGCAGCCCCUUCCAAGCACUGUGGUGGAGGAGAUCCUCCUCUGAACUUGGUCUUCUAUGCCACACAGGAGCACGUUUGACAAGUGACGAUCAAUGAGGCACUGAACACUGCUGACCACAGUGUAAUCGAGAUGAGCAUCCCUGCCAUGAAAACCAGCAGUGAAGCAUUCAAGUAAAGAGAAAGGGGGUUUGUUUUGUUGGACUUCCUUAAGGAGAAGCAUGUCAAAACUGAGGAAACUGAAAUCUGUAGUCAGCAAGUAAGCUUAUUCAGUCAUGGUCUAAGCACAGCCAGACAAUGUAUCCAGCCACUCUUCUCCUCUGAAAAAGGAUGAAGAUCAGCAACAACAACAAUUAAAAAAAAAAC